rnacentral:misc_RNA from 1 species
UAUGUGGAGGAUGUAAUCCCAAUACUUUUGGCUGCCUUCCAUUGUCAAUCAGAUGAUCUUGUAAAUCAAUGUGUAGGUAGAAUAGCAAGGUCAGAUCUUGAUAGCAUCUCAAUAGAGAAGGAGCUUCCCUAUGNAGCUUUCAAAGACAAUUGAACAUAGUCGUGAAGAGCCUAUCUCUGAUGAUGAACAGGUGUCUGAGGCUGUGGAACCCUUGCAUGAAAAGGCUAUUAGGAAAAUACACAAGGCAUUAGACUGGGAGGAUAUUGAACUGGUAGAACUUCUCUUGUGGGAAUCUAAUGUAACACUGGAC